UACGUAGGUGGCGAGCGUUGUCCGGAAUUACUGGGUGUAAAGGGCGUGUAGGCGGGAGUGUAAGUCAGAUGUGAAAUCCCAGGGCUCAACCCUGGAGCUGCAUCUGAAACUAUACUUCUUGAGUGUCGGAGAGGAAAGCGGAGUUCCUAGUGUAGCGGUGAAAUGCGUAGAUAUUAGGAGGAACACCAGUGGCGAAGGCGGCUUUCUGGACGAUAACUGACGCUGAGGCGCGAAAGCGUGGGGAGCAAACAGG
rnacentral:rRNA from 1 species